UACGAAGGGGGCUAGCGUUGUUCGGAAUUACUGGGCGUAAAGCGCGCGCAGGCGGUUUUUCAAGUCAGUGGUGAAAGCCCGGAGCUCAACUCCGGAACUGCCAUUGAAACUGUAGAACUUGAGGACGAGAGAGGUGAGUGGAAUUCCCAGUGUAGAGGUGAAAUUCGUAGAUAUUGGGAAGAACACCGGUGGCGAAGGCGGCUCACCGGCUCGUUUCUGACGCUCAGGCGCGACAGCGUGGGGAUCAAACAGG
rnacentral:rRNA from 1 species